rnacentral:rRNA from 1 species
GCCCUACGGGAGGCAGCAGUGGGGGAUAUUGCACAAUGGGGGAAACCCUGAUGCAGCGACGCCGCGUGGGUGAAGAAGCGCCUCGGCGCGUAAAGCCCUGUCAGCAGGGAAGAAAAUGACGGUACCUGAAGAAGAAGCCCCGGCUAACUACGUGCCAGCAGCCGCGGUAAUGCGUAGGUGGCGAGCGUUGUCCGGAAUUACUGGGUGUAAAGGGAGCGUAGGCGGGAGAGCAAGUCGACUGUGAAAUCUAUGGGCUUAACCCAUAGCUGCGAUCGAAACUGUUCAUCUUUAGUGAAGUAGAGGCA